ACUACCUCACUGCGAGGGAAGUGAGAAGUGGGAAUUGGGAACUGGGAACUGAGAGCCUCUCCGUGACGCCUCAUUUCGCGCUCUCUUUUUGAGAUUUCACGCAUUAAUCCAUACUCUCCUCUGCUCCUCUUCUCUCUCUCGCGACUUCACAGAGUUCGCGAGAGAGUGAAAGCGAACUUCAUUAUCCUGAAACAUCUCCGGGAGGAGUUACCAGAUAUUGAUACCUCUAUCUCAAUCCAUCGCCUUCAUAAACUUCGUUUCUUCCAACGGUGAGGCCUUCAUUUUAAUCGGUCACCUGCGGAGGAAGAUUUUUUUUCAGUUCUCCAUAUGAAAGAAUGAAUACAAGAAAGAAGGCUCUAAAGUUCAAACCUGGACCUGCCGCUCGAUUUAAUGCUGAUGCAUCGUGUAGAAAUUUGAGCAAGUGUCACCUUGGAGGCGUAAUAUUUGGAUGCACGAACAGCACCAUAAAGGAAUGUCUUUCCAAACAGCUUUUUGGUUUGCCUUCUCAACACUUUUCAUAUGUGAUGAACAUUGAUCCUGGUUUGCCUUUGUUUCUAUUCAACUAUAGUGAGAGAAAAUUGCAUGGCAUCUUUGAGGCGGCUAGUUCAGGUCAGAUGAAUAUUAACACAUAUGGGUGGACUGCUGAUGGUUCAGAGAGAACACCUUAUCCAGCUCAGGUUCAAAUUAUGGUUCGGAGGCAGUGCCAACCUUUGUUAGAAAAUCAAUUCAAACCUAUAAUUACUGACAACUAUUAUGGACUCAAUCAUUUCUGGUUUGAGCUUGACCAUGCUCAGACAAAUAAGUUGAUUUCCUUAUUAGCAUCUCAAGCAAUGGCUCCCAGUGUACGACCAUCUACAACGAACCACAGACCUUUCUGUACAGUCCUCCCCUCCUUGGAAACGAGGGAGGGAAGUGAAAAGAUUAAACCACAAAAUAUGGACGUGCAAUGGGACCUGGCAAGUCAAGUAGCGGACACUAUAGAUGUUACUUCUUCGUUAGAUGCAGGAAAUAGUGCAUUUGAAGUUCACUGUGAUGAAAAUGAGGUCAAUGAAGAGGAGAAGAACCGACUAUUGCAUAAACUACAAGAAUUGGCUAGAAAUCAUCACGAAAGUCCAAUGUUGCCUUUAACGAGUGAUACAGAUCAUACUGCCUUAAAUAAGGACAAAAAUUUAGAGAAUAGUGAUCGUUAUGUUGAACCAAUUAAGUCCAAAGAGAGCAGUGUGGAGGACUUUGGCUCUUCGACUGAAUUUCCGUCUCUAAUUGCCAAGUUGGUUCAAGAGAUACACGAGCUAAGGGAAUCUAAAGCAGAACAAACUGAGAAAAUAGUUUUAUUGGAGGAAAAACUGUUGGUUGCAGAAGGUGAAAUCAUGGAGUUGAAGAGUUUUUUUACGUUGCAAAACUCAAAUGCACUAGAGGCAAAGAGGGUUGUGGAGGAGGAACAAAUUGAAAACUCAUGUUUGGAUCCUCGUGAAUCCAUUUUCCUUAUUGGAGGAUAUGAUGGUGCAUCACACUUGUCGACUUUGGAAUUAUAUGAUCCUUCCAGGGAUAUGAUCAAAUCUCUCAGGGCAAUGAGAUCUGUACGUGGAUAUGCUUCUGUUGCUUGGUUGAAUAGUCAGCUUUAUGUUUUGGGUGGUGGUAAUGGUUGUGUAUGGUAUAACACUGUUGAAUCCUAUAACCUAGAGACCGAUCAGUGGACAUUGUCCCCUUCCUUAAAUUUAGAGAAGGGAAGCCUCGGAGGAGUUAACAUUGGUGACAAAUUAUUUGCCAUUGGUGGCGGAAAUGGUAUUGAGUCCUUGUCAGAUGUUGAAAUGCUUGACUUAUAUCUUGGACGAUGGAUUCGGACAAGGUCAAUGCUACAAAGGCGAUUUGCUGUUGGUGCAGUGGAGCUCAAUGGCGUACUUUAUGCAACUGGGGGGUUUGAUGGUAGUGACUAUUUGAAAUCUGCUGAAAGAUUUGACAUCCGAGAGCAUUCAUGGACUCAAAUUGCUAGUAUGAAUGAAAAGCGAGGAUGUCAUUCAUUGGUGACUUUGAACGAUAAACUUUACGCUCUUGGGGGAUUCGAUGGACGUUCAAUGGUUUCGAGUGUUGAAGUAUACGACCCACGUAUGGAAUCAUGGAUCAUUGGGGAACCCAUGAAAAGGAUGCGAGGAUAUGCAGCAGCUGGAGUUAUCAACGAAUCUAUAUACAUAAUUGGAGGUGUAUUAGUAGAUGACAAAAUUCUAGACACGGUUGAGACUUAUAAAGAAGGGUACGGAUGGCAGGAAAAGACAUCGAAGGUUCUAAAGAAAAGGUGUUUCCAAUCGGCUAUCGUUCUUUGAGCGUGAGAUGCUCAUCUGCACGUGCGGUUGGUAUGUUGGUAAAAUCCAUAGCUGCAAUGGUGUUUCCUUUUGAAUGCAAGUAUGCGUAAACCCCAAAGCUUGAGAGAUCCUUCCGAAGCAAUGUAGUUGCAAUUAAAUAUUUUUGGUGGACUCCUAUGAGUAUGAUUUGUCCAAAACGGGAGAUGAAAUAGCUACAACUAUGGUAUGCAAUCACCUUCUUACUAUCAAAUCCAAGUUCCCCGUCAGAUGCAAAGGUCAAAGUACAUGAGUUUUUUCUUCUUCUCUUUGUUAGAAAAAAUGAAACAUUCAGAGGUAUUCAAAGGUGUGAAAGGGGUAAAAUUUUGUAAUAAGCAUGGGAAAACUAAGACUAUGUAUAGUGGGUAUGUAUAGUUAGCUUUCUAGUUUCUACUAAUAUACAUAUACACAAAACAUUGAAAUACAAAAAUGCUUCUGCCACACGGGAUUAGGCAGUAUGACACAGCGCACUACUAAUGAGUCAGUAUAUGGCCCAAAUACAAAUAAUUGUAAAAUGCUUAAUUUACUAAAAUCCCGAAGUUUCUCUGUUGCUCGCGAAA